rnacentral:tRNA from 1 species
GUCACGAUAGCUCAAGUGGUAAAGUAGCGGCGUAUGAAGCCGAAGGUCGUGGGUUCGAAUCCCGCUCGUGACA